rnacentral:rRNA from 1 species
UACGGAGGAUGCGAGCGUUAUCCGGAUUUAUUGGGUUUAAAGGGUGCGUAGGCGGCUUUUUAAGUCAGCGGUGAAAUUUUGCAGCUUAACUGUAACAGUGCCGUUGAUACUGUUUGGCUAGGAUUUGGUUGUAGUGUGCGGAAUGUGUGGUGUAGCGGUGAAAUGCAUAGAUAUUACUCAGAACACCAAUUGCGAAGGCAGCUUACUAAACUGAUAUUGACGCUGAGGCACGAAAGCGUGGGGAGCGAACAGGAUUAGAUACCCCU